rnacentral:snRNA from 1 species
AGCUUUGCGCAGUGGCAGUAUCGUAGCCAAUGAGGUUUAUCCGAGGCGCGAUUAUUGCUAAUUGAAAAAAAAAACCAAAAACCUGAACCAUCAGCUCUCAGCUUGUCUGUGUUGUAAUUUUCACAAUGUGUAUGAACU